rnacentral:rRNA from 1 species
AUGUUAAACUUUGGUGGUAGAGCACUGAAUAUGGAAUGGCCGCGCCUAGCGGUACUGACUAUAAUCAAACUCCGAAUACCAUUGUGUAUUAUCAUGCAGUCGGAACCGGGGUGCUAACGUCCCGGCUCGCGAGGGAAACAACCCAGAUCGUCAGCUAAGGUCCCAAAAUCGUGUUAAGUCAGAAAGGUUGUGAGAUUUCAUAAACAACUAGGAGGUUGGCUUAGAAGCAGCCAUCCUUUAAAGAGUGCGUAAUAGCUCACUAGUCAAGAGAUCUUGCGCCAAUAAUGUAACGGGAGUCAAACACGAUACCGAAGCUACGGGUACAUCUGUACGUUAGAGGAGCGUUCCUAGGGCGGUGAAGCUAAACCGUGAGGAUUAGUGGAGCGUUAGGAAGUGAGAAUGCCGGUAUGAGUAACGAUUCGUGGUGAGAAUCCACGACGCCUAUUGGGAAAGGUUUCCUGGGGAAGGUUCGUCCACCCAGGGUUAGUCAGGACCUAAGGAGAGGCUGAAAAGCGUAUUCGAUGGAUAACAGGUUAAUAUUCCUGUACUAUCUAUAAUUAGUGAUGGAAUGACGGAGAAGGAUAACAAUACCCAUUAUCGGAUUUGGGGGUAAGCAACGACUGGUCAAUGUAGUUAAAUGCGCAUUGUAUAACCGGGAUUUGUGAUGCAUAGUGAUUUAUUUCACGAAUUUUGUGAUUCCAUGCUUCCAAGAAAAGUUUCUAAGCGUUAUAAAA